rnacentral:misc_RNA from 1 species
GGAAGUAAAAGUCGCAACAAGGUUUCCGUAGGUGAACCUGCGGAAGGAUCAUUAUUGAAUGAAACACUUCUGGCUUUAUGCUGUUGUGCUGGCCCUUUGGGCAAUGUGCACACGGCUCUGGUCACUUGUUUCUUCUGUUCCACCUGUGCACUGCCUGUAGACACGCUGUGUCUAUGAUAUUUGUUAACACACAACAAUGUUAGUUGGCAUGUUAUAUAUAAUAAUAAAAUAUACAACUUUCAACAACGGAUCUCUUGGCUCUC